GCUGGGUGUGGUGGCUCACACCUGUAAUCCCAGCUACCUGGGAGGCUGAGGCAGGGGAAUUGCUUGAACAUGGGAGGUGGAGUUUACAGUGAGCUGAGAUUGCACCACUGCACUCUAUCUAGCCUGGGUGACAGAGCAAGACUCUGUCUCAA
rnacentral:SRP_RNA from 1 species